CGAACGCUGGCGGCGUGGAUAAGACAUGCAAGUCGAACGGGAUUAUUUUUGUAGCAAUACAGAAAUAAUUCAGUGGCGAACGGGUGCGUAACACGUGGGCAAUCUGCCGAAAAGUGAGGGAUAGCUCGCCGAAAGGCGAAUUAAUACCGCAUGUGGUGAGGGACGACAUCUUCCUGAAUCCAAAGCCGGGGCAACCUGGCGCUUUUUGAGGAGCCCGCGGCCUAUCAGCUAGUUGGUGAGGUAACGGCCCACCAAGGCUUUGACGGGUAGCUGGUCUGAGAGGACGACCAGUCACACUGGAACUGAGACACGGUCCAGACACCUACGGGUGGCAGCAGUCGAGAAUUUUUCUCAAUGGGGGCAACCCUGAAGGAGCGACGCCGCGUGGAGGAUGAAGGCUUUCGGGUUGUAAACUCCUGUCAUUUGAGAACAAGUGCCAACAAGUAACUACUGUUGGCUUGAUAGUAUCAGAAGAGGAAGGGACGGCUAACUCUGUGCCAGCAGCCGCGGUAAUACAGAGGUCCCAAGCGUUGUUCGGAUUCAUUGGGCGUAAAGGGUGCGUAGGUGGCGCCGUAAGUCGGGUGUGAAAUUUCGGAGCUUAACUCCGAAACUGCAUUCGAUACUGCGGUGCUUGAGGACUGGAGAGGAGACUGGAAUUCAUGGUGUAGCAGUGAAAUGCGUAGAGAUCAUGAGGAAGACCAGUGGCGAAGGCGGGUCUCUGGACAGUUCCUGACACUGAGGCACGAAGGCCAGGGGAGCAAA
rnacentral:rRNA from 1 species